UCCAUUCCAGGCUGGUCCCCCAAUGGGGCCACGAUUGGCUGAGGGCCCCCAUGAAAGCGGUAGGGCGCAGCAUACUAAUUGAAAAGGCUCCGAAUUUAGUGGACCGAUUUAAUGGAUUGUUUCACUGUUGAGAAGCGACACUAUCGCCGGUGAACAUGGGCUAUAUUAUAUUUGCAAAAAAGAAUGGAAUCCUUAUUAAAACUCCGAUAAUGUAACCAAAGGUGUAAAAAAAUUACCUUAAAAAACUCCUGAAUAGCAUGCUGUUAGUUCAUAAUCAUCCCCGAAACAUUGCCACUUUAAAUAUUAAGGCAAUAUUAUUCAAAAGCCCCCAGCCAAAUAAAAGAUUACAAAUCGAUCGAUCAAGAUACUUAAAUUCACUAAGCCCUUCUGGACUGCCGCCACAUGAAUUGAUGGUAAAAUUCGGAAUUGCUUAAAAGGAAAUGUAGGACAAUUUAAUUCAACAACUAUUAUCAACGGCCCAGCAACGAAUUAGUAGGGAUUGGCAUACGAAAGCAAUGUUUUGCGGUAUGUUGACCCAUCACGGGUCGGAGCUCCUGAAAAUCAAUUUAUUUUGCUACCACAAAAUAAAACAUUAAAUAUCUUUUACAGAGAACCUCUGACCUAAUAAAAAAUUACAAAAAAAACCUAAAAACAAAAAA